ACAAGCAGAGGGGGCUUAGUGGUGGGGUGACUGCGUACCUUUUGUAUAAUGGGUCAGCGACUUAUAUUCUGUAGCAAGGUUAACCGUAUAGGGGAGCCGGAGGGAAACCGAGUCUUAAUUGGGCGUUAAGUUGCAGGGUAUAGACCCGAAACCCGGUGAUCUAGCCAUGGGCAGGUUGAAGGUUGGGUAACACUAACUGGAGGACCGAACCGACUAAUGUUGAAAAAUUAGCGGAUGACCUGUGGCUGGGGGUGAAAGGCCAAUCAAACCGGGAGAUAGCUGGUUCUCCCCGAAAGCUAUUUAGGUAGCGCCUCGUGAAUUCAUCUCCGGGGGUAGAGCACUGUUUCGGCUAGGGGGCCAUCCCGGCUUACCAACCCGAUGCAAACUGCGAAUACCGGAGAAUGUUAUCACGGGAGACACACGGCGGGUGCUAACGUCCGUCGUGAAGAGGGAAACAACCCAGACCGCCAGCUAAGGUCCCAAAGUCAUGGUUAAGUGGGAAACGAUGUGGGAAGGCCCAGACAGCCAGGAUGUUGGCUUAGAAGCAGCCAUCAUUUAAAGAAAGCGUAAUAGCUCACUGGUCGAGUCGGCCUGCGCGGAAGAUGUAACGGGGCUAAACCAUGCACCGAAGCUGCGGCAGCGAACGUAUCACUUAAAGCGAUUCAGCGGGUUACGAUUGACGGAGCGAAGCGACGUCAAAGCGUAUACAAAGUCGAGUCGGUUUAAGGAUACGUUCGUUGGGUAGGGGAGCGUUCUGUAAGCCUGCGAAGGUGGCCUGUGAGGGUUGCUGGAGGUAUCAGAAGUGCGAAUGCUGACAUAAGUAACGAUAAAGCGGGUGAAAAGCCCGCUCGCCGGAAGACCAAGGGUUCCUGUCCAACGUUAAUCGGGGCAGGGUGAGUCGACCCCUAAGGCGAGGCCGAAAGGCGUAGUCGAUGGGAAACGGGUUAAUAUUCCCGUACUUGGUGUUACUGCGAAGGGGGGACGGAGAAGGCUAUGUUGGCCGGGCGACGGUUGUCCCGGUUUAAGCGUGUAGGCUGGUUUUCCAGGCAAAUCCGGAAAAUCAAGGCUGAGGCGUGACGACGAGGCACUACGGUGCUGAAGCAACAAAUGCCCUGCUUCCAGGAAAAGCCUCUAAGCAUCAGGUAACACGAAAUCGUACCCCAAACCGACACAGGUGGUCAGGUAGAGAAUACCAAGGCGCUUGAGAGAACUCGGGUGAAGGAACUAGGCAAAAUGGUGCCGUAACUUCGGGAGAAGGCACGCUGACACGUAGGUGAAGUGAUU
rnacentral:rRNA from 1 species